rnacentral:rRNA from 1 species
CUACGGGUGGCUGCAGUGAGGAAUAUUGCACAAUGGGGGGAACCCUGAUGCAGCAACGCCGCGUGGAGGAUGACGCAUUUCGGUGUGUAAACUCCUUUUAUAUGUCAAGAAAAUGACGGUAGCAUAUGAAUAAGCACCGGCUAACUCCGUGCCAGCAGCCGCGGUAAUACGGAGGGUGCAAGCGUUACUCGGAAUCACUGGGCGUAAAGGACGCGUAGGCGGGUUGGAAAGUCAGGUGUGAAAUCCUACAGCUUAACUGUAGAACUGCACUUGAAACUUCUAAUCUAGAGUAUGGGUAGGGGCGAUGGAAUUAGUGGUGUAGGGGUAAAAUCCGUAGAUAUCACUAGGAAUACCUAAAGCGAAGGCGAUCUCCUGGAACAUUACUGACGCUAAGGCGUGAAAGCGUGGGGAGCAAACAGGAUUAGAUACCCCGGUAGUC